rnacentral:rRNA from 1 species
GACGAACGCUGGCGGCGUGCCUAAUACAUGCAAGUCGAACGCAGUGGGGACGGGUGAGUAACCCGUGGGUAACCUCCCAUCAGAGGGGAUAACACUUGGAAACAGGUGCUAAACCGAUACUGAUGGAUGGACUCGCGGUGCAUUACCUAGUUGGUGAGGUAACGGCUCACCAGGGCCACGAUGCAUAGCCGAACUGGCAGAGUGAUCGGGCAAACUGGAACUGAGACAGGGCCCAGACUCCUACGGGAGGCAGCAGUGGGGAAUCUUCGGCAAUGGACGAAAGUCUGAGCGAGCAACUCCGCGUGAGUAAAGAAGGUUUUCGGAUCGUAAAACUCUGUAGUUAGAGAAGCGGUAUCUAACCAGAAAGCCACGGCUAACUACGUGCCAGCCGCCGCGGUAAUUC